GGCCUCUUGCCCCUCAGGCUGCUGGGGAGCCCACUGCUCCUCAGCCAGGGCUGGAGGCCAAGAGCAGCACCGGAGGAGCAUCGUCAGCGCUGCCAUGAGUGGGCAGCCUUGUUUUCCUGCCUCUGACACGU
ensembl:scaRNA